GGUAAGGUGGCUGAAUUCGUAGGCAAUAGACUGUAAAUCUAUUCAUGAGGCAAUCUUUCUCCCUUACCA
rnacentral:tRNA from 1 species